rnacentral:lncRNA from 1 species
CCGCCGAAGCCAGCUCGUCGCCGGUUCUCCUUCGCCCGCUCACGCCACUGCUCUUCCCUCGUUCGCCGUCGUCCUCGCUCGUCUUCACGUUUGGGAGGCUGUCUGACCAGCCUAGGUCGCGGAUCAGCCGCCGUGAGCCGCCGUGCGCCCUCGCCUUAGCCCGCCGGAGCUUCGCCUUGCCUCCGCCGCCCUUGGCCGCCCGAACCGGCGCCGGAUCUGCUCCCUCUCGGCCCCGAUCAGCAACCCAGAAAAUGGGUAUGGCAGCCCAUGUUUGGCCCGUUUUGGCCGCCUUCCCGAGCUCGGAUGCUCGGCCCGCUUUGAGGAAAGUUGUUCUCCUCGGCGUCCCCGUCGUUUUGGUUCGCUCGGCUCGCUAAUCCGGUGAGUUUAACUCACUAAACCUCGCUUAGAGGGUUAAUGAUGCUUUAGGUGUGUUUAGUUUAUGUUAAGUGUUAUUAGGUGGUUAGUUUAAUUUAUUUAAGUGUAGAUUAUAUUAAUGUGCUUGAUUAACUUAAAUUGUGUUUAAUUUAAAGUUAAGUGGGUGUUUAUAUUAAUAUAAACAUUGAUGUGUCAUAAAGGAAUUUACUUUUGAUUUAUUUAAAUAUCCCGAAAUCAUUAAAUAAUUUAAUAAUAUAUUAUUAUUCGAAAUUAUUAAAAUAUUAUUAUUUAAUUAUUUUCGGAAUAAAUUUAAUGAUUUAUUAAAUUCCGAAAAUUUUGGUCGGGACCCUAAAUUCUCAGAAUUUCGUGCCGGUCGCUACGGUACAUUCGGAUUUUGAAAUUGAUGAUUGGAUAUUAUAAAUUGAGUGUGGAUUUCGAAAACUAUGGAUAUUAUUAUUUAAUUAUUUUCGGAAUAAAUUUAAUUAUUUAUUAAAUUCUGAAAAUUUUCAUUGGGACCUUAUUUGCUCAGAAUUUCGUGCCGAUCGUUGCUGUGCAUUUAGAAUUUGAAAUUGAUGAUUGGUUGUGAUGAAUUGAGUGUGAUUGUGAUUUAUAGGGAUUCUUUAUGAAAUCCUAAGUGUAGAAAUUGAUGGGAGAUUGGCUGUGAAAUACCACCUAUUAGAGGUCGUGCCCAGAGAGGCCGUGAUAAACCACCUUGGAAAGGUCGUGCCCGAUGAGGCCGUGAAAAACCACCUACAAGAGGUCGUGCCGAUGAGGCCGUGAAAUACCACCUAUUAGAGGUCGUGCCCAGAGAGGCCGUGAUAAACCACCUGUGAAAGGUCGUGCCCAGAGAGGCCGUGAUAAACCACCUGUGAAAGGUCGUGCCCAGAGAGGCCGUGAUAAACCACCUAUUAGAGGUCGUGCCCGAUGAGGCCGUGAUAUGCCACCUAUUAGAGGUCGCGCCCAAUGGGGCCGUGAAUUGCCACCUGUUAAAGGUCGCGCCGAGUGGGGCCGUGAUGCCACUGAUUUAAAUUUGCCGAGUAGGGCCGUAGUUGAGAGCAAUGAUUGAUUUGCUAGAAUGACAUGUAAUCGGCCGAGUCGAUUGAUCGCUGAGACGAUCCACCUAUCAUAAUUGUACGUGGUUGGUUUAUAUAAAUUGUGCUAACCUGCAGAUAAAGGCUGAGGCGAGGUAAGUCUUCUGUGUGAUGUGGCUAUGCCACCCGGGGCGUAUUUUCUUUCUAAUAGGGGUUUAGGGGGUUGAACUUGCUGAGACAUCGUCUCAUCCCGGUUGUGGGAUUAAAAUUUCAGGUCCCUGAUGGACGGAAUGGCUAGAUAGCUUUGGUUGGCAUUGAGGAGUUGCAGAGGUGAAGCGAUAAGAUUGGAGGACGUGUACGACUUGUAGGUCGUAGGACAGUUCAUUUUUAAGAGCCGGUCUUUUGUAGACUUUUGGCUGUAGACCUCUGUUUGUAAUUCUGUUGAAUUAUGAAAGUGUUAUGUUGU